rnacentral:rRNA from 1 species
UACGUAGGGUGCGAGCGUUAAUCGGAAUUACUGGGCGUAAAGCGUCCUCCUUCUUUCUUUUAAGACAGAGGUGAAAUCCCCGGGCUCAACCUGGGAACGGCCUUUGUGACUGCAAGACUAGAGUACGGCAGAGGGGGAUGGAAUUCCGCGUGUAGCAGUGAAAUGCGUAGAUAUGCGGAGGAACACCAGUGGCGAAGGCGAUCCCCUGGGCCUGUACUGACGCUCAUGCACGAAAGCGUGGGGAGCAAACAGG